AGCAGCUGGUUUGUCAUUUACCCUCUCUUCUGCUGUGGCCAGAUCUGUGAGGGCAAAUAAGAGAUUAAGAGAUGAGAACCACCACAACUGUGAUGAAAGAAAAUAUAAAUGCAGGAUAUACUGUGGGUGGAAAAAAUAACAGCGCUGUCUCCUGCCUCACCACAGAUAGCUGGAUGUCGUCAGACAUGCCCAUACACAUCAGCAGAGCUGGGUGUGGUGCCUCAUCUUGCUUUCACUCACCAGACAAUGACCAGAAAGCUCUGUGGAUGGGACAGUGAGCAGAUUCCACACAAAGCAUGGGCAGGACUUUGUUUAGCACGGGACACCUGUGAUUGAGUACAUCUGGAGGUAGGAUGGAGGUCACAUGCCUCCUGUAAGCUACUGUGCAGGCUUACCACAGACACUCACGCAGGGCCUCCCCGGCACAGCUGUGGGAUUGUGGAUGCCCAGGGGCAGAAGAGGGCCUGUGACAUUUUGAAUCAAUCAGAGAAAAACCUGUAAAGCUGUUCUUGUGAUGCAGAUUCAGACCUAGUUCUUAAGCCCACAGAGCUCUCCAAAAUAGACUCAGGCAGUGGAACUAAGCAGACUUGAAAGUUUACUCUGAAAUAAUAGAGUUUCACAUACAUAUAUAUACACACACACACACACAUAAUCCUUUCUGACUUAGUUGGUUUCAUAAAAUCAUUAAAGUCCUCUGUAGAUGUUUUAGUUUUCUGCCUCCAGCCUGGCAGCAAAACAUUUUGACCUUUUGAUGAAAGCAGUAGGUUGACUGAUAAGCUCUGAAGUAUUAUCAACAAUUUAGAUCAUUGUACAUUUAGAUGUGGAACUCAACCCAUCACAUUUUGAUGCACCAGCUUUUUAUUCAGAUCUUUGUUUCUUGUUUAAUUUUGCUAUCUAUAGCUCCUUUGCUUACUUUUGGCUGAUUCACAUAUCAUUUCUUUCUUUUGAAUAGCACUACUGCUACCAUUACUACAGCUACUACUAAUAGUUUGACCGAUACUGUAUUUUUUAGGCAGAUACCGAUAUUUGAGUUUAAAAAUCUGAUACAAUUUAUCCUCCAAUUUAGUUUUUCUUUUUACAUAAACGCAUAUUUAAAUCUUUAAUUAAGAUAUUCAAGAUAUUUUGUGGCCAAGAUAUUUCACAUGAAAUUUUGCAGUUGAAAAAUACAAAGAUUCAGCAAAUAUAACAGUAAGUUUUAAGCUACAAGCUAAAAGGAAACUUGUUCUAACCAUUAUUUAUGUAAGUACACUGAACUUCAGUCAAAACCAUCCUUACAAAAUAUAUCUUUGGCAUUUUCCAUACAGCAGCUUCUUGUAACGUAUUGGCCAACAUACAGUAUAUGCUGGUACUGACACAUCUGUAAGAAGUCAAAGUCAUUUAAAACAACUACUACUAAUAAUACUCCUGCUACUAAUAAUAACCGCAACAACAUUGUAGUUUCUAAAGUGUUUUAAUUGAUGUAUUACAAUGUGUACAUUUUCAUCAGGUAAACAUUUACAAUGCAAUUGAUUAUUUCAUCGGUUGAAACUC